rnacentral:lncRNA from 1 species
UAUUUCGUUUAUGGGCGUUUGGCCCAUUUAAGUCACCUGCACCUGUCCUAGUCUAACAUGAAAUAUUUUUUAUUUGGGCCUUAGGCUCAAUUCUUCCGCCUGUCCUAAACUAACACGAUAAUAGCAAUUAAAAUGACAAGGGCUUAGGCCCAAAAUAACAAAAUACAAAUCUUUUAUAAAGAUCAGGCCUUUGGCCCAAUCUUUUCAAAUUUUCUCAAUCGGUUACUCCUUUCAACUUCGGGACCUGUUCGUCGACUUUAGCGAUUGGAUGACUCAAUGGAGGUGGCAUUUGAGCCCUUAUGGCUCUCUCGAUAUGCAAGGAAAAAUAUGGGAGUUCAUGGUGAACUCGGACAGAUUUGACAUGAAACAAAAUGAAAACAAGUAAGUAAAUAACCACUAAUUUAAUGUAAGAAAGAGUCACGAAAAUUAAGCUCAGAUACUACUGCAUUUUAACUUACACAAUCUAAAUAGAAGACAAGGCAUAUCACAGAAAUGGGCCCUAAUCGACACAUGUGACACUCAAAGGACAUUAAACAACUAAUAAUGUAGUUAAGAUUGAACAUAUACAAAGCCAACAAUAGAUAAAAUAAUGUGUCAUCCCAAGAUUGCCGCUUGAUAAUGAUUUAAAUAUGAUCAAUUAAUGACCACAUGCUAACAAACAACCACGUAUCCCACAUCACAUAGAUUUGCACUUCUCAUAUACAAUUUUAUUUUGUUUUUUUUGUUUUUUUCUAAAAAAAAGACAUAUGAGACAGUUGUAUAAAGAUUUCAAACUCAUUAUAACAGAGAGCACAUUUGAAGCUACUAAACUUGGUAAAUGAAAUUUAAACAUUCCUUAAUAAAAUUAAGAACGAAACUCGAUAAGAACCAAUGCUUUAAUCCUAUUUUUAAACAAAAGGUGUCAUUGUAUCUUAAAACACAUAAGGGAAAAGCAAUGCAGUAAUAUCCUAACAUUAAUGCUCUCGCAAAAUCUUAACAUUCAAACCAAAUAUCUAUUAGCGCUAACUGGGAGAAAAUCAAAACCAAAAUAAAAUAAAAUCAAGACACUAGCAACUAAAUAGCAUAUUUGACGGACAACUAUCUAUGAAUACAAGCAGGUGCAUUCAUUUUCAAGAGGUAAAAGAAUUGUCCCGUAUCAAAUACUAAUCACACGAAAAAGCUAAACCUUUAGAAAUGAUUGGGCCUUCACGGCUUAAAAAAAUGAACAGUUGAAACAACAUGAUCCCACAAGGUAAAACUACUAAUCCUAGCAGGCAAACAAAAGCUUAUGCUAAUGUAAAUUUCAACACAGUCCUAAACUUGGGGCAUGCUUAAAGAGACGAAGAUCACAUAAUAGAAGAAACCUCAUAAGCGAAUUAUACAUCUCGAGCAGACAUGAAGUCAGUCACAAGAGGCAAACAUAUGGAUAUGGAGAUUAGAAACAAUCGACAUUUACACCACAAAGGGAAACUACUUGGAAAAAAAAAAACAAGGAAAGGAAUUGAGAGCUCUAUUGCAUUUUUAUAACAACAGUAGCGAACUUCAAGAAAGGACAAGGGAAUUUUCUAUCAUUGAUAUGAAUAAUGUUAACAAGUAAUGACCAAAACAUGAUUAAGAAUAUCUAGACAGGACGCAUAGAGCAACCAGAAAUUGAACAGAACAAAG